rnacentral:rRNA from 1 species
GGGUCCGUAGGUUGGUCGUGCCACCGGUACGUACUGGUCUCACUGAUUCCUCCUUCCUGAAGAACCGUAAUGCCAUUAAUUUGGUGUUGCGGGGAAACAGGACUGUUACUUUGAAGAAAUUAGAGUGUUUAAAGCAAGCUAACGCUUGAAUACAUUAGCAUGGAAUAAUGAAAUAGGACGAUCGAUCCUAUUUUGUUGGUUUCUAGGAUUGACGUA